UCUUCAUUAGUUUUCAAUGGAACAAUGUUUCCUUCAUUUCUCUUCUUCCAAUGGAGUUUCUUAACAUGGUAUCAACUUAUCUAUUGUGAUCCGAAUCGAAAGUAGAAUUACGCCAAGCUAUAGAGUCAAAAGUAGUGCAAAAGCUAGAGAAAUUUCUUCAUCAAAAGCUAGGGUUUGAGAUCAAUUUCUCAAAUGUGGUGAAAUUUCUCAAAUCUAUGAUUCAAUUUCAUAUAAUCGAGUUUAAAUCUCACAUUUGCUUGCCUUAAGAGUGUAGAAUUGAGUGAUGAAUAAAGAGUACUAGAUAAUUUCAACCCCUGAAGAAACCAGAAACAACAAUAAUGGAUAUGCAGCUGGAAAUUAUUCAACUGCCCGGGAAGGACAGGUUGUUCCAAAUUAUCCUCUGUAUACCCGUCUGAUAUUCAAGAUUUUAAUUAUUUGAAGACUUUACGAAAGGACUAGACCCUUGCAAAUCAGCUUGCAUUUGGAUUCUUUGGUUGAGAAAGUGUUCCAGAGGCUCAGACACGGCCUCACCUCUAGCGUUUGAUAGAAGAUCUCGAUUCAAGGAUGAACACUUCAUCUCCAGGAUGCCAUGGAUCAUAUCCUAUUAGUAUUGUUCAUCUUUCGGGCAAUGACACACUUUUUAUUAUUCUUUAUUUUGGAUAUAUCUUUAGACAUGAUCUUUGGUCUAGAAGUUCUUGUACGAUGACUUUCGGGUCUUGGCGAUUUCAGUAAGUAGUUUGUUUGAUUUCAGCAUUACUAAUGA